UAAACAAAAGCAAAAUAAACGAUGUUAGCAACACAGUGACAGGAACAGUGCAUUAAAGCAGAAAAACACAUCUGCAGCAGAUCCCUGGGUCAUGAAACUGGAUUUAACCCUGGUGACAGGGUUACUGAAUACAAUCAGAUUUCGGCACUUAUUUUGCAUCUCGAGCCUAUUUUUUGUUCUGUAUAAGUUAUUCCAAGGUCUCAAGAUAUAAGUAUAUAAACAGAAUAUUGAUAUAGAACAGAAGCCUUUAUUUUGUCACAUGUACAUUACAGCACAGUGAAAAAUCUUCUUUCACAUAUCCCAACUUUGCAGGUUGGGGUCACAGCGCAGGGUCAGCUAUGGUACACAGCUCCUGGAGCAGUGAGGGUUAAGGGUCUUGCUCAAGGGCCCAACAGUGGCAGCAUGGCAGUGCUGGGGCUCGAACCCUGUUUCUACAAACAACCACCAAGAGCCACCACACUGACCUUAAUAAGCUUCAGGGCUCUCAAGUGUCAUGCGAUUUAACGCAACGACCAAUG